rnacentral:rRNA from 1 species
UACGUAGGGGGCUAGCGUUGUCCGGAUUUAUUGGGCGUAAAGAGCGUGUAGGUCGCUUUGCAAGUCCGUUGUGAAAACUCGAGCUCAACCUCGAGACGCCGGUGGAAACUGCAAAGCUAGAGUCCGGAAGAGGAGAGUGGAAUUCCUGGUGUAGCGGUGAAAUGCGCAGAUAUCAGGAAGAACACCCGUGGCAAAGGCGGCUCUCUGGGACGGUACUGACGCUGAGACGCGAAAGCGUGGGGAGCGAACAGG